rnacentral:rRNA from 1 species
GUCCUUUUGAUUAUAAUUUAAGGUCUGACCUGCCCACUGAAAUUAUUUUAAAUGGCCGCAGUAAUUUGACUGUGCAAAGGUAGCAUAAUCAUUAGUUUUUUAAUUAAAAGCUUGUAUGAAGGGUUGGACGAGAUAAAAUCUGUCUCUAUUUAAUUUAUUAUAAAAUUUAAUUUUUAAGUUAAAAAGCUUAAAUUUUUUUAAAAGACGAGAAGACCCUAUAGAUCUUUAUAGUUUUGAUUUUGAAUUUAAUUAAUAAAUUUUUAGGAUUUAUGAUCUAAAUUAUUUUAUUGGGGUAAUAGAAAGAUUAAAAUAAUUCUUUUUUUCUUUAAACAUUUAUUUAUGUUUUUAAUGAUCCAAUUUUAUUGAUUAUAAGAUUAAGUUACCUUAGGGAUAACAGCGUAAUUUUUUUAGAGAGUUCUUAUCGAUAAAAAAGUUUGCGACCUCGAUGUUGGAUUAAAGAUUAGUUUAGGUGUAGAAGUUUAAAUUUUUGGUCUGUUCGACCAUUAAAUCUUUACAUGAUCUGAGUUCAGACCGGCGUAAGCCAGGUCGGUUUCUAUCUUUAAUAAUUUUAAAAUAUUUUAGUACGAAAGGACCAAAUAUUUAAUAUAUUUAUAUUUAAUUUUUUGAAUAUUAUUAAAAAUUAUUUUGGCAGAAUAGUGCAAUGAAUUUAGAAUUCAUAAAUGUAAUUUUAUUACAAAUAAUACUUGUUUUUUUUAGAUGUAAUUUUUUCUUUAGUGUGUAUAUUUUUAUUAAUUAUUUGUGUUUUAGUUGGGGUUGCUUUUUUAACAUUAUUAGAG